AUUGAACGCUGGCGGCAUGCCUUACACAUGCAAGUCGAACGGCAGCACGGGUGCUUGCACCUGGUGGCGAGUGGCGAACGGGUGAGUAAUACAUCGGAACAUGUCCUGUAGUGGGGGAUAGCCCGGCGAAAGCCGGAUUAAUACCGCCUACGGUCUACGGAUGAAAGCGGGGGCCCUUCGGGCCUCGCGCUAUAGGGUUGGCCGAUGGCUGAUUAGCUAGUUGGUGGGGUCAAGGCCUACCAAGGCGACGACCAGUAGCUGGUCUGAGAGGACCACCAGCCACACUGGGACGGAGACACGGCCCAGACUCCUACGGGAGGCAGCAGUGGGGAAUUUUGGACGAUGGGCGAAAGCGGGAUCCAGCGAUGCCGCGGGUGAGAAGGAGGCAGUAGGGUUGUGAAGGACAUUUGGCCGGAAAGAAAGCCUUGGCCCUAAUACGGUCGGGGGGAUGACGGUACCGGAAGAAUAAGCACCGGCUAACUACGUG
rnacentral:rRNA from 1 species